UACAUGUGGGGCAAGCGUUGUUCGGAAUUACUGGGCAUAAAGGGUGCGUAGGCGGUUUGUUAAGUCACUGGUGAAAGUUUUCGGCCCAACCGGAAAAUUGCCUGUGAUACUGGCGAACUUGAGUGCGUGAGGGGUGGGGGGAACGAGCAGUGUAGCGGUGAAAUGCGCAGAUAUUGGGAGGAACACCAGUGGCGAAGGCGGCUCACUGGACCGGUACUGACGCUGAAGCGCGAAAGCGUGGGGAGCAAACGGG
rnacentral:rRNA from 1 species